rnacentral:tRNA from 1 species
GCCACCAUGGCAUAGUGGUUGAAGUGUUGGACUGUGACUCUGGAGACCAGGGUUUAAUUCCCUGUUUGGCC